UACGUAGGGUGCAAGCGUUGUCCGGAAUUAUUGGGCGUAAAGAGCUCGUAGGCGGUUUGUCGCGUCUGCUGUGAAAACCCGGGGCUCAACUCCGGGCUUGCAGUGGGUACGGGCAGACUAGAGUGCGGUAGGGGAGACUGGAAUUCCUGGUGUAGCGGUGGAAUGCGCAGAUAUCAGGAGGAACACCGGUGGCGAAGGCGGGUCUCUGGGCCGUAACUGACGCUGAGGAGCGAAAGCAUGGGGAGCGAACAGG
rnacentral:rRNA from 1 species